GAUGAACGCUGGCGGCGUGCCUAACACAUGCAAGUCGAGCGAUUCUCUUCGGAGAAGAGCGGCGGACGGGUGAGUAACGCGUGGGUAACCUGCCCUGUACACACGGAUAACAUACCGAAAGGUAUGCUAAUACGAGAUAAUAUGCUUUUAUCGCAUGGUAGAAGUAUCAAAGCUCCGGCGGUACAGGAUGGACCCGCGUCUGAUUAGCUAGUUGGUAAGGUAACGGCUUACCAAGGCGACGAUCAGUAGCCGACCUGAGAGGGUGAUCGGCCACAUUGGAACUGAGACACGGUCCAAACUCCUACGGGAGGCAGCAGUGGGGAAUAUUGCACAAUGGGCGAAAGCCUGAUGCAGCAACGCCGCGUGAGCGAUGAAGGCCUUCGGGUCGUAAAGCUCUGUCAUCAAAGAAGAUAAUGACGGUACUUGAGGAGGAAGCCCCGGCUAACUACGUGCCAGCAGCCGCCGUAAGAC
rnacentral:rRNA from 1 species